CAGAACAGUUAAGGGUUAGAGAGGACCACCCAGUACCUGGCACAAAGCAGGUACAGCUUAAAUGAUAGUUCUCCUGGCAAUGAGAGACGGGCCUUCACUCAUCAGAGGAGUCAGAGCUCCCUUCCCUUCGCCUUCACCAGCUGGCUUUGUCUACAGUGCAACAGAAGAGCUGCAGCUUUCAGACAGACAGAGUGAAAGGUUUCUCAUUAGCAUCCCUCAACCUCGGGAAGCUUCUCCCGGUCCCGAAGGCUAAGAGCCUUUUCCAGCAGCCAGCCUUGCAAUGCUACCCUUCUCCUCCACCUCUGAAGCUUUGAGAUUGGGCCACCAUGUUGGACUAGGAUUGCAGAAGGCCAUUGCUGGUUCUGCACUUUCCUUUGAGCUUAGACGUCACAACUCAUCAUGCAAUUGUGAUUAUUACAGUCCUUUCUGCAGUGCCAGUGUACCCACCAGGCUGGACACUUCAAAAUGGCAGGGCUAUAUCUGUGUGGCUACUACUACCUUGCAGCAAGGCUUGUUGAGCCCUUACAGUACUAUAGAUGUCUUGGCCAGCUGGUUUGUUGUUAUAGCGACAGUGGACUGCAGUGUUCUGCUGAGACAACCGAGAAUUCCUCCAGACAUGACUCAAACAUCCCCAAGUGACAAAAUUACCUAGAAUUGAUAGCCUCCUCUCUCUCCACAGCCUAUCCUGGCGUCCCUGAAAUAAAU
rnacentral:lncRNA from 1 species